UGGGGAAUCUUGGACAAUGGGGGCAACCCUGAUCCAGCCAUGCCGCGUGAGUGAUGAAGGCCUUAGGGUCGUAAAGCUCUUUCGCCUGUGAAGAUAAUGACGGUAGCAGGUAAAGAAACCCCGGCUAACUCCGUGCCAGCAGCCGCGGUAAUACGGAGGGGGUUAGCGUUGUUCGGAAUUACUGGGCGUAAAGCGCGCGUAGGCGGACUGAUCAGUCAGGGGUGAAAUCCCGGGGCUCAACCCCGGAACUGCCUUUGAUACUGUCAGUCUUGAGUCCGGAAGAGGCGAGUGGAAUACCGAGUGUAGAGGUGAAAUUCGUAGAUAUUUUGGAGGAACACCAGUGGCGAAGGCGGCUCACUGGCUCGAUACUGACGCUGAGGUGCGAAAGUGUGGGGAGCAAACAGGAUUAGAUACCCUGGUAGUCCACACCGUAAACGAUGAAUGCCAGUCGUCGGGUAGCAUGCUAUUCGGUGACACACCUAACGGAUUAAGCAUUCCGCCUGGGAGUACGGUCGCAAGAUUAAAAGCUCAAAUGAAUUGACGG
rnacentral:rRNA from 1 species